rnacentral:ncRNA from 1 species
CGCCGCGAGACGGAAUCUGAAGGAAGCCGGAGGCAAACUUUCGGGCCGACGAACAGAAACCUCAUAGCAAGGCCGAACAGGGACGGACGAGCUUGCUAAUCAAAGCAAAGUCCAAUGCUACCCGAAUCCCACACGGUAAAUGAGGCGGCUAGACGAAAGGAAAGUUGUU